AUCUGUUGUGUUUUUCUUUUUGAGCCAUUUUCUUGCACAUUAUUUUGCUUUGGUGAUCAUCUGUGUGUCAUUGCAAUGUCACUGAUUUUCUUUUUGAAGAGUAUUUUCAAGUGUUUAAAAUGGUUCAUUUUUGGGUUCCAUCGUGUUUUCAUAUUUCCAAUAGAGAAACCUGCAUGUUUUUUUUAUAUUUCCGCCAAAUGAUGUUGAAUGUAAAGUCUGAGUUAAAUCAGUGAGAAGAGCAGAUGCAUCAGAUAGCCCACUAAAAAUAAUAAAAUAUGUAGCUGUCAUUUCAAAAAUGGCUUAAGAGAAAAUGGACCUACUGUAUUUGGAUGAAAUAAAAACUAAUUUGUUUCAUAUACAUCUCCUAAAAAACAAACAGAGUAUGUAAAAGAAAAUAAUUACCUUUUAGAUUCAAUUCAAUAUUAACUAAGUUUAUUACUACUUUUUUUUUUAAGUAAUUUAUUUGUAUCAUUAUUUUGUUUUAUUUAUUGUUAGUUUUCUUUUUUUUUUUUUUUGCAAUACUCUCCCAAUAAUACUUGUUGGAUUAACCUUGUUAGUGACACAAGUCCUUUAAUUAAAUACAUCCUGUCUACUAGUCAUACUAGCUAACUUCAUAUCUCUGUACUCUAUUUAACUAUCACUUGUUUUAUAUUCCCAUCACUUUCCUUCUUUCUACAUUCAUCUUCAUAAAAACCCUCACCUAUUUAUUUUAUUUUUGUUUUAAUUAUUGUAUUUGUUCUGUAAUAAAUAGUUGUA